CCUACGGGCGGCAGCAGUGAGGAAUAUUGGUCAAUGGACGCAAGUCUGAACCAGCCAAGCCGCGUGCAGGAAGACGGCCCUAUGAGUUGUAAACCGCUUUUGUAAGAGAGCAAACGCAGGUACGUGUACCCGGCUGCGAGUACCUUACGAAUAAGCAUCGGCUAACUCCGUGCCAGCAGCCGCGGUAAUACGGAGGAUUCAAGCGUUAUCCGGAUUUAUUGGGUUUAAAGGGGGCGUAGGCGGUCGUAUAAGUUAGCGGUCAAAUCCCGAGGGUCAACCUCGGGAUGGCCUCUGAAACUGGUCGGCUAGAGAGUGGUAGCAGUAGGCGGAAUGUGUGGUGUAGCGGUGAAAUGCUUAGAGAUCACACAGAACUCCGAUUGCGAAGGCAGCAUACCGGGCCACAUCUGACGCUGAGGCACGAAAGCGUGGGUAGCGAACAGGAUUAGAUACCCCUGUAGUC
rnacentral:rRNA from 1 species